UACGGAGGGUGCGAGCGUUGUCCGGAAUCAUUGGGCGUAAAGAGCUCGUAGGCGGUUUGUCGCGUCUGCUGUGAAAACUCGAGGCUCAACCUCGGGCCUGCAGUGGGUACGGGCAGACUAGAGUGCGGUAGGGGAGACUGGAAUUCCUGGUGUAGCGGUGGAAUGCGCAGAUAUCAGGAGGAACACCGAUGGCGAAGGCAGGUCUCUGGGCCGCAACUGACGCUGAGGAGCGAAAGCAUGGGGAGCGAACAGG
rnacentral:rRNA from 1 species